rnacentral:misc_RNA from 1 species
GUGGUAAUUUAUAAAGGUCACGGAAAAGACGUUACAUUUUUAAUAAAAAAUUUAAGUGGUUUUAAAGCUGUUUUCAGAAUGUCUUCAAAACGCAAAAUUAUAUGUUGUACGCAAUAUUAAAUUUAUACGCGCAAAAGAUUUCAUGAUUGAUUUGGCUGAGAAUAUGGUAGAAUACGGAAAAGAUAUAACGGAAAACAAAAGAAGACCUGUGAAUCCAAUGCCACCUACUGAAGGUG